rnacentral:rRNA from 1 species
AGAUACGGCCCUGCGGCUGGUAAAGUACCGCACGUCUCGCGGUAUCCGGUGCCCUCCCGACGGCCCUUGAAAAGCUCGGCGAGCCUCAGUACAGACCUAGCCCAGCCGUACUCAUAACCGCAUCAGGUCUCCAAGGUGAGCAGCCUCUAGUCGAUAGAAGAAUGUAGAUAAGGGAAGUCGGCAAGAUAGAUCCGUAACUUUGGGAAAAGGAUUGGCUCUGAGGGUUGGGCGUCCG